rnacentral:rRNA from 1 species
UGCGUAGGCGGGUCUUUAAGUCAGGGGUGAAAUCCUGGAGCUCAACUCCAGAACUGCCUUUGAUACUGAAGAUCUUGAGUUCGGGAGAGGUGAGUGGAACUGCGAGUGUAGAGGUGAAAUUCGUAGAUAUUCGCAAGAACACCAGUGGCGAAGGCGGCUCACUGGCCCGAUACUGACGCUGAGGCACGAAAGCGUGGGAGCAAACAG